rnacentral:rRNA from 1 species
ACGCUAGCUACAGGCUUAACACAUGCAAGUCGAGGGGAAACGACAUCGAGAGCUUGCUUUUGAUGGGCGUCGACCGGCGCACGGGUGAGUAACGCGCAUCCAACCUGCCCACCACUUGGGGAUAACCUUGCGAAAGUAAGACUAAUACCCAAUGACAUCCCACGAAGACAUCUGAAUGGGAUUAAAGAUUUAUCGGUGAUGGAUGGGGAUGCGUCUGAUUAGCUUGUUGGCGGGGUAACGGCCCACCAAGGCAACGAUCAGUAGGGGUUCUGAGAGGAAGGUCCCCCACAUUGGAACUGAGACACGGUCCAAACUCCUACGGGGGGCAGCAGUGAGGAAUAUUGGUCAAUGGGCGAGAGCCUGAACCAGCCAAGUAGCGUGCAGGAUGACGGCCCUAUGGGUUGUAAACUGCUUUUAUAAGGGAAUAAAGUGGGUCACGUGUGACUUUUUGCAUGUACCUUAUGAAUAAGGACCGGCUAAUUCCGUGCCAGCAGCCGCGGCAAUACGGAAGGUCCGGGCGUUAUCCGGAUUUAUUGGGUUUAAAGGGAGCGUAGGCCGGAGAUUAAGCGUGUUGUGAAAUGUAGAGGCUCAACCUCUGCACUGCAGCGCGAACUGGUCUUCUUGAGUACGCACAACGUGGGCGGAAUUCGUGGUGUAGCGGUGAAAUGCUUAGAUAUCACGAAGAACUCCGAUUGCGAAGGCAGCUCACGGGAGCGCAACUGACGCUGAAGCUCGAAAGUGCGGGUAUCGAACAGGAUUAGAUACCCUGGUAGUCCGCACGGUAAACGAUGGAUGCCCGCUGUUGGCCUGAAUAGGUCAGCGGCCAAGCGAAAGCAUUAAGCAUCCCACCUGGGGAGUACGCGCAAACAACGGUGAAAC